CCUCCUUCCCCAAUCUGCGCUGUUUUCUCCCGCUCUCUAGCGGGAGCAGCGCACGACGGAGGCGGCUGCACGCGGCAGCGGCGGGGCGGCGAUGGCUGGACGCGGCAGCGGUCGUGGCAGGGGCGGCCGGGUGCUUAAGAGGAGGGAGCACGGCCCAUGAGGUGAAGCAUGGCCAGGAGGUAGCCGCUGCCGCCGCCUCGUGCCUCACAUCAGGAGGACCUCACAUAAGGAGGCAGCGCGGGUGCGGGCGCCGCCGUUGCAUAGAGCGCCAGGAGGACACGGUCGCCACCACUCACGGACGUCGACGUGCCAAGAGUGACAGGCCGUGGCCACCAAGUUCUUCUUCCUCUCCUGGCAUCCACAGGCAUCCCUGAGCCAGCCUGAUCGCCAUCAACCUCUCGAGAAUGGUUUUGUGAUCUUUGGCAUUAAUUAAAGAAAAUGCUAAAGCGUAUAGAAGAGUGGUACCUGUAAUCAUGGGAUGUUGUUGUUUAAGCUUGCUAGAAUGUUCAUGGCCCUGGGUUGAGAAGCAGCGCUCGUCACGGCGAGCAGGCUGAUUUCAAGACGCCAAGUUAGGGCCCAGGGUCGCGCAGCCUCCGCCUGGCGCUGAGCUCCGUCCAUGGAGCCGCUCGCCACAUUGUC